rnacentral:rRNA from 1 species
UACGUAGGGUCCGAGCGUUGUCCGGAAUUACUGGGCGUAAAGAGCUCGUAGGUGGUGUGUCGCGUUGUUCGUGAAAACUCACAGCUCAACUGUGGGCGUGCGGGCGAUACGGGCAGACUAGAGUACUGCAGGGGAGACUGGAAUUCCUGGUGUAGCGGUGGAAUGCGCAGAUAUCAGGAGGAACACCGGUGGCGAAGGCGGGUCUCUGGGCAGUAACUGACGCUGAGGAGCGAAAGCGUGGGGAGCGAACAGG